GUUUUUGUAGUGUAAACUAAGCACAAUAAGGUUUUCAUCCUAUAAGUAUAAUUUUUUUUAUCAAAAAUU
rnacentral:tRNA from 1 species